rnacentral:rRNA from 1 species
GAUGAACGCUGGCGGCGUGCCUAAUACAUGCCAGUCGAGCGAACGGACGAGAAGCUUGCUUCUCUGAUGUUAGCGGCGGACGGGUGAGUAACACGUGGAUAACCUACCUAUAAGACUGGGAUAACUUCGGGAAACCGGAGCUAAUACCGGAUGAUAUUUUGAACCGCAUGGUUCAAAAGUGAAAGACGGUCUUGCUGUCACUUAUAGAUGGAUCCGCGCUGCAUUAGCUAGUUGGUAAGGUAACGGCUUACCAAGGCAACGAUGCAUAGCCGACCUGAGAGGGUGAGCGGCCACACGGGAACUGAGACACGGUCCAGACUCCUACGGGAGGCAGCAGUAGGGAAGCUUCCGCAAUGGGCGAAAGCCUGACGGAGCAACGCCGCGUGAGUGAUGAAGGUCUUCGGAUCGUAAAACUCUGUUAUUAGGAAAGAACAUAUGUGUAAGUAACUGGGCACAUCUUGACGGUACCUAAUCAGAAAGCCACGGCUAACUACGU